GGUUAAGCGACUAAGCGUACACGGUGGAUGCCCUGGCAGUCAGAGGCGAUGAAGGACGUGCUAAUCUGCGAUAAGCGUCGGUAAGGUGAUAUGAACCGUUAUAACCGGCGAUUUCCGAAUGGGGAAACCCAGUGUGUUUCGACACACUAUCAUUAACUGAAUCCAUAGGUUAAUGAGGCGAACCGGGGGAACUGAAACAUCUAAGUACCCCGAGGAAAAGAAAUCAACCGAGAUUCCCCCAGUAGCGGCGAGCGAACGGGGAGCAGCCCAGAGCCUGAAUCAGUGUGUGUGUUAGUGGAAGCGUCUGGAAAGGCGCGCGAUACAGGGUGACAGCCCCGUACACAAAAAUGCACAUGCUGUGAGCUCGAUGAGUAGGGCGGGACACGUGGUAUCCUGUCUGAAUAUGGGGGGACCAUCCUCCAAGGCUAAAUACUCCUGACUGACCGAUAGUGAACCAGUACCGUGAGGGAAAGGCGAAAAGAACCCCGGCGAGGGGAGUGAAAAAGAACCUGAAACCGUGUACGUACAAGCAGUGGGAGCACGCUUAGGCGUGUGACUGCGUACCUUUUGUAUAAUGGGUCAGCGACUUAUAUUCUGUAGCAAGGUUAACCGAAUAGGGGAGCCGAAGGGAAACCGAGUCUUAACUGGGCGUUAAGUUGCAGGGUAUAGACCCGAAACCCGGUGAUCUAGCCAUGGGCAGGUUGAAGGUUGGGUAACACUAACUGGAGGACCGAACCGACUAAUGUUGAAAAAUUAGCGGAUGACUUGUGGCUGGGGGUGAAAGGCCAAUCAAACCGGGAGAUAGCUGGUUCUCCCCGAAAGCUAUUUAGGUAGCGCCUCGUGAAUUCAUCUCCGGGGGUAGAGCACUGUUUCGGCAAGGGGGUCAUCCCGACUUACCAACCCGAUGCAAACUGCGAAUACCGGAGAAUGUUAUCACGGGAGACACACGGCGGGUGCUAACGUCCGUCGUGAAGAGGGAAACAACCCAGACCGCCAGCUAAGGUCCCAAAGUCAUGGUUAAGUGGGAAACGAUGUGGGAAGGCCCAGACAGCCAGGAUGUUGGCUUAGAAGCAGCCAUCAUUUAAAGAAAGCGUAAUAGCUCACUGGUCGAGUCGGCCUGCGCGGAAGAUGUAACGGGGCUAAACCAUGCACCGAAGCUGCGGCAGCGACGCUGAUGCGUUGUUGGGUAGGGGAGCGUUCUGUAAGCCUGCGAAGGUGUGCUGUGAGGCAUGCUGGAGGUAUCAGAAGUGCGAAUGCUGACAUAAGUAACGAUAAAGCGGGUGAAAAGCCCGCUCGCCGGAAGACCAAGGGUUCCUGUCCAACGUUAAUCGGGGCAGGGUGAGUCGACCCCUAAGGCGAGGCCGAAAGGCGUAGUCGAUGGGAAACAGGUUAAUAUUCCUGUACUUGGUGUUACUGCGAAGGGGGGACGGAGAAGGCUAUGUUGGCCGGGCGACGGUUGUCCCGGUUUAAGCGUGUAGGCUGGUUUUCCAGGCAAAUCCGGAAAAUCAAGGCUGAGGCGUGAUGACGAGGCACUACGGUGCUGAAGCAACAAAUGCCCUGCUUCCAGGAAAAGCCUCUAAGCAUCAGGUAACAUCAAAUCGUACCCCAAACCGACACAGGUGGUCAGGUAGAGAAUACCAAGGCGCUUGAGAGAACUCGGGUGAAGGAACUAGGCAAAAUGGUGCCGUAACUUCGGGAGAAGGCACGCUGAUAUGUAGGUGAAGUCCCUCGCGGAUGGAGCUGAAAUCAGUCGAAGAUACCAGCUGGCUGCAACUGUUUAUUAAAAACACAGCACUGUGCAAACACGAAAGUGGACGUAUACGGUGUGACGCCUGCCCGGUGCCGGAAGGUUAAUUGAUGGGGUCAGCGCAAGCGAAGCUCUUGAUCGAAGCCCCGGUAAACGGCGGCCGUAACUAUAACGGUCCUAAGGUAGCGAAAUUCCUUGUCGGGUAAGUUCCGACCUGCACGAAUGGCGUAAUGAUGGCCAGGCUGUCUCCACCCGAGACUCAGUGAAAUUGAACUCGCUGUGAAGAUGCAGUGUACCCGCGGCAAGACGGAAAGACCCCGUGAACCUUUACUAUAGCUUGACACUGAACAUUGAGCCUUGAUGUGUAGGAUAGGUGGGAGGCUUUGAAGUGUGGACGCCAGUCUGCAUGGAGCCGACCUUGAAAUACCACCCUUUAAUGUUUGAUGUUCUAACGUGGACCCGUGAUCCGGGUUGCGGACAGUGUCUGGUGGGUAGUUUGACUGGGGCGGUCUCCUCCUAAAGAGUAACGGAGGAGCACGAAGGUUGGCUAAUCCUGGUCGGACAUCAGGAGGUUAGUGCAAUGGCAUAAGCCAGCUUGACUGCGAGCGUGACGGCGCGAGCAGGUGCGAAAGCAGGUCAUAGUGAUCCGGUGGUUCUGAAUGGAAGGGCCAUCGCUCAACGGAUAAAAGGUACUCCGGGGAUAACAGGCUGAUACCGCCCAAGAGUUCAUAUCGACGGCGGUGUUUGGCACCUCGAUGUCGGCUCAUCACAUCCUGGGGCUGAAGUAGGUCCCAAGGGUAUGGCUGUUCGCCAUUUAAAGUGGUACGCGAGCUGGGUUUAGAACGUCGUGAGACAGUUCGGUCCCUAUCUGCCGUGGGCGCUGGAGAACUGAGGGGGGCUGCUCCUAGUACGAGAGGACCGGAGUGGACGCAUCACUGGUGUUCGGGUUGUCAUGCCAAUGGCACUGCCCGGUAGCUAAAUGCGGAAGAGAUAAGUGCUGAAAGCAUCUAAGCACGAAACUUGCCCCGAGAUGAGUUCUCCCUGACUCCUUGAGAGUCCUGAAGGAACGUUGAAGACGACGACGUUGAUAGGCCGGGUGUGUAAGCGCAGCGAUGCGUUGAGCUAACCGGUACUAAUGAACCGUGAGGCUUAACCUU
rnacentral:rRNA from 1 species